AAUCGACAGCAGCGGCCGUGUCAGCAGACUUCCUGGAUCAUGAAGCGGCAUCAUGCACGAUGGCAGAGUGAAACCAGAUGUCCUCUUUCUCAUUCCUCGGCACAACUCCUCCCCGGACCCCAAACUCCUUUCUUACUUCCUCAAAAUUCCAGGACAUAUAAACCAGACGCUGACCUACUUGCGCAUUGGACUCGCCCGGCGCCAAAACAGGACCACUUCAACAGAAUCUGACAAACUUCUGGACUUUGAAGGAUGUGGCGGCGUUGCCUUGGCGUGUUUCUUCUGGCGGUGUCGGCGCUGGCCCGCCUGGAUCAGGUGACCCUGGACAGCCAAUGGGAACAGUGGAAGAUCACGCACGGUCGGGAAUACAACGG